AUGGAGAAAGUGAAGUAUCCAAAAGCAAUUUGGGAUAGUGCGGCUCAUUUCAUUUAUAUGGAUGUGUGCGUAGAGGAGGUGCGAGCAAAUAACCGGGCCCCUGGAGGCACCACUUUGUCCGAUAUAGGACAAGCUAAUUUGCUUACUAAGUUCAAUAAGCGCUUUGGGCGUGGCUAUUCGCACUUGCAAUUAAAAAACAGGUGGGAUGCAUGUAGAGGUGAUUAUGCCAUAUGGAAGACAUUGGUUCAAAAAGCUUCUGGCAUUGGAAGAGAUCCUUAUACGAAGACCAUUGCUGCUACAAAUGAGUGGUGGGCAUUGGAGUUGAAGGCACGUCCGCAGGCUAGCAAGUUUCGGUAUGCUGCACUUGCGGAGGAGGAUAAAAUGGAGGAGUUGUUUGAUGCUUGUUGUGUCACAAAUGAGCAUGCGAGGGUGCCAAUGCCAACAUAUCAAGGUUCUACGUCUCGAAUCACUUUGGAUGAUGAGUCUGGUUGUGAAGGUGAUGAAACGCAGGUUACACCUCGUCCUAAUCGUGCUAAGGGUGGGAAGAAGAGGGCAUGUCCUUAUUCGCUAAGUCCUAAGAUGAAUGAAAAGUGGGCAAGUGAGCAUGCAAAAAAUGAGGCAUUUGUGCGUAUGGUGGACCUGUUUGAUUCAAGGAACAAGAGAGAUGCAACUCAAGUUUUAGCAAGAGAGGAGAUUCACGAAAUGAUGGCCAUGGUAGAGGCGGAUGGUGGUGCACCUGGGAGUGAUGUUAAUUUCUAUGCUUCACAACUAUUUAGGGAUCAGACAAAUCGUGAUGUUUUCUCUACCUUCAAGGGUCACGAGCCUAGUGCGAGGCUUCUAUGGAUAAACAAAACAUGGGAGUUCAACAAUAAGUAG
rnacentral:rRNA from 1 species